UCGGUUCCGGUUCACGCCUGGCGGUGAACGCCAUGGCGACCCGGCGGCC
rfam:Streptomyces thermoautotrophicus strain H1 H1_chromosome, whole genome shotgun sequence.